rnacentral:rRNA from 1 species
CUUUCCGCCAGAGAACUACAAGUGAAAAACUUGAAACUCAAAGGACUUGGCGGUGUCCCAUAUCGGCCUAGAGGAGCCUGUCCUAUAAUCGAUACUCCCCGUUCCACCCAACCCUCACUAGCACCAAACAGCCUAUAUACCGCCGUCGACAGUCUACCCCAUGAGGGUCCAACAGUAGACAUAAUAGCCUAUACGCUAACACGUCAGGUCAAGGUGUAGCAAAUGUGAUGGAAGAGAUUGGCUACAUUUUUUAUUUUAAAAAAUACGAAAGGCACUAUGAAACCCUGCAUGAAGGUGAAUUUAGCAGUAAAAUAGAUAAGUGUGUCU